rnacentral:lncRNA from 1 species
CUCCUUUCUAUAUUUGUAACUCCCUUCUCUGACAGUCAGAAAGUUGGGUAACUCUCAUCAUCCAUAUAUAUAGUUACUUUUUAUCAGUCUUUCUGUCUUUAACAAUCUCCUUGUCUACCUUGGGCUUCAACAUCCUGCACUGGGCUGCCCCACCUCACAGAAGCCCCUAAUACCCUAAUACCCCAUUCGCAUUUACUCUUUACUCUGCUUGCAUUUUGACACCCUGUGCUGGGCUGCCACCCUCCCCACCUCUCACUCCACGCCCCCCUCCUCAUUUGUGUGGGCGUUGACACACUGUCUAUGCCCUUUGGCCUCCCACCUUAUUCUCCCUACCUAAUGGCUUUUGGACUGAAUUCCUCAAGAAGAGGAGGAGGGAGAAGGUACCUUGUUUUGUAGUUCAUAGGUCCCUGAAGCUGAGGAACCAUACCUGGACCUGAUUUGGAUGAUUAGACUCUGGACCUAGAGCCUGAGCCUGAAGUCAAGUUUUAAUGGGAUGAGCCUUUGGGAGAUCUUGGGAGAUUAAUGCAUUUUACACGUGGGAAGAAUCCAAAUAAUUUGUGGCCAGUGGGCAAACCAUGGAAGACCUAAAAAGAUGGCUGCCAAUUCCUUACCCCUCCUCCUCUUGAAUCCGGCCUGCCCUGUAACUUGUUUUAGCUAAAAUUUCCACAGAAGUGACCUUAAGGCUGGGCCCUAAGAGAUCUGCAUCUUCUUACUUUGCUCUGGAAAUGCUCCUGAGAGGUCCACGUGGAGAAGAAGCAAGGCCCCUGACCCACGACCCAUUCUGACCCAGCCCCCAGCCAGCACCAACUGCCAGCCAUGUGAAUGAGGCCAUUUGGAACCUCCAGCUGUGCCAGAGCCCAACUGACUCUAGGUGAAGCUGAACCUACACGACUGUGAGAAAUUGGUGAAGCAGAAAUGUGAACUGGGAGGUACAUACAAAAGUGCCGUCAGAGGGCAGAGGAAAUUCCGCUAACCAGCUGAAGGCGGCCGGCAGGGAGAGGCAGAGAGCUGAGUGAUUCCGGGCAGAUAAGCCCUGGACGGCCCAGUCAGCACCCCGCCUUCCUUCUCCAGGUGUCUCCGAUGGGACGAAGUUUUCACCUGACAGAAUUGAGAGCGGAAAGAGCUGAAGGAAGUUUCUUUGGGUCUGUCUCUCUAACACCAGUUCAUGUUUGCACAGCUGGAUGAUGUUAUCAAGCAGGUUUCUGACCUGGACCUUUCUGAAGCGAGAAAUUUACUGAUUCUAGGUACCUCUGGAUGGGGGGGCUGGUGAGCCUGGUGUUCAAGAUUCUGUGGACUCUGCAUGUUCCCAAGGGAUAGACAGUUUGCAAGUGUUGUUCCUUUUCCUAGCUUCCUUGCCACAAAGAGGGCCCCAGGAUACACCUGGGACCCUAACCUCCCCUCAGCCCUGUCUCCUGGCCAUAAUCUGAACAUAUGGAAGACACAUCAGCAUUCCCCACCCCCUCCUUUUUCAGAUGAGGGACUGUUCUGACCCUUCCUCACUCAUUGGCCUGACAUUUUCUUCUUGGCAUAGGUGGUUGGCGUCAGCUUCACCCUCACCAGCUCCCUGGUGGAAAAACUUUUGACUUUUGUGUUCUAAAAUAGCUUAGCGAUAGUUCUUGCCUUCUCCCCUUCCCACAUUAGCAAGACGAUCAUAAGCAUUCAUUUAACAGGUGUUUUAACAAAUAUUUAUUCAGUGCCAACUCUGUGCUAGGUUCAGUUCUAGGAGCUGAGGAUUCAGUAGUGAACAAGAGAGAAAGUUCCUGCACUCACGGAACUAAUUUUCUAAUGAGGGAGACAGACAACAACAAAUAAAUGUAUAAGUGUAUAAUGUUGAGUAGUGAAACCUGUCCUGAAAAUAAUCAAUCAGGUUAAACAGAUUUGAGUGGGGGACAGUUCUGAAAUCUCUCUCAUAAAGUGACAUUUGAGAGAUCUGAACAAAAUACGGGGGAAGAGUAUUUCAGGCUAAGUGAACAGCAAGUACAAAGGCCCUGAGGCAGGAAGAAACAGGGCAAAUGGAAGGAAUAGCAAUUAGGUUAGUGUGGCUAAAGCAGGGAAAGCAUGGUAGAGGGUGAUGGAUGAGGAUGGGGAAGAGAGAUGGGAACCAGAUUAGAUAGGACGUCUACAGAUGGGGAUUGUGUUAUGAGGAUAAAUGGCACGAUCUGAUUUGUGCUUACAAAGACCUCCCUAGAGGUGAUUUGGACAAUAGACUGGGAGAGCGCAUGGAAGAGGUGGAAGCAGGGAGAGCAAUUAGGAGGCUACUGUAUAACCCAGGGCACGACGAUGGUGGCUUGGUCCAGGAGGGUUACAGCAGAGUUGGGGGUGGUUAAUUCUGAUGGUUUGAAGCUAGAGCUGACAAGACUCGCUGAGAGACUGGAAAAGGCAUUUGAGAAGAAGAGCAGCACAUGGAGGACACCUUUUGGGUUUUGGGCUCAGGGAACUGAACACUGGUACGAUUCUCUGACACAGGUAAGCAUGGGAGCGGAGUAUGGGGAAUAGGUUUUGGGGGCCAGGUGUGUUGAGUUUGAUAGACAGUUGAACGUGAGUCUGGAGGUCUAGGCUGGAGAUGGAAAUUUUGCAGUCAUCAACACAUAGGUAUUGGAAAUCACCCCUGGGGGGCCAGCCCAGUGGCGCAGCGGUUAAGUGCGCACGAUCCACUUCAGUGGCCUGGGGUUCACCGGUUUGGAUCCCGGGUGAGGACAUGGCACUGCUUGGCAAGCCAUGCUGUGGCAGGCGUCCCACAUAGAAAGUAGAGGCAGAUGGGCACGGAUGUUAGCUCAGGGCCAGUCUUCCUCAGCAAAAAGAGGAGGAUUGGCAGUGGAUGUUAGCUCAGGGCCAGUCUUCCUCAGCAAAAAUAAAAAUAAAAAUAAAUAAAAAAUAUUUAAAAAAAAAAUCACUCCAAGGGAGUCAGUAUGGACAGGAAAGAGCACUGCAGACUAUGGCUUGGGGCCUACAGCAACUGGCGGAUAGAAGGAGCAGCCCACAGGGAAGACAGAAGCAGCCAGAGAAGUGAGGGAGAUCAGGAAAGCCUGGCGUCCAGGAAGCCAAGCGAAGAAAGUAGAUUCUGUAUGAUCACAACCAAGUGUCAACUUCUGAGCCUCAGUUUCCUCAUCUGUGAAAUGGAGACAGUCACAACUGCCUACUUCACAGAGUUGUUAGGCUUGUGUCCUGCUGGCAUAUAGUAAACUCCCGGUCUAUUGUUAGCAUCCCCCCAUAGCAGCGGUGGCUGCCAGAGCCCUCAGCUCCUCCAUCCAGACAAACGGCAGCACCUCGGUGACUCUUCCUCAGGAGUGAGGUGUCCCUGCUCACUCAGGCAGCAGGUGGGCCUGAGGAGUGGCCUCUGGGCCAAAUCUGAACCAAGAGACCUCAGCGCCUAAGCCUCUCAUCCACACAGCCUCCAGCCUUUUACCUGUAAAUCAGAAAGGGGAAAACUUGGUAAAUAAAGGUUUUGGAGUCCGAAUUCUGCCUCUGCCUCUCACCAGCUGUGGGGUCUUAGGCAAGCUUCUUCUCUUCGUGAGCCUUGAACUCUUUACCUAUGAGAUGGGGACAACUCCCACUUUACAGGAUUGUGUCCAGGCCGGUGCAGAUGGCAAAAAGGCGCCUUCUCUCCUGCUUGCGGGCCCGCGAGUUAGCGAGGCUCCCUGCCACCCUCCCACUUAGGGCAUGUAACCUCGCGAGGCAGGAUGCACUAGGAGAGGCACCCCCCCAACACACCCAACACACCGCGCCCUCUGCGGUCCCCCAGCCUGGGCUAGAGGAGAGAAGCGGGGCCUCAUGCACUUUCUUUUCCGCAGGGCGCCGGGGAAGGCCCAUCUUUCGGCUGGGCCCCCGCAAUGGCAGUGGGGCCUAGGGGUAGGAGGGACGGGGCACCGAACGUCCCAGAGAAUCCUCCGCCGCUGUCCCACCCUCCACGGGCGUCGAAGCCCAUUUCCUGGGCAACCUUUCUCCGCCCCUCCCCCCCGGCCACCAGGCUGGAACGCCGCGGCGGCCCCCAACCCUCAGGACAACCCGCCUGCUCUCCUCUCUGCCCUCUGCUCCGCCGCCGCGCUGCAGGCCCAGCCCGCACCCCAGCCCCGAGCAUCCGAGGAAGUGGCGGCGCAUCUCGAGGUCGGCUAGCAGGGGGGAGAGGGGGCGCGGCUUUCCAGCGACCGAAGUCCCACGCGAAGACCCAGGAGAGGGGCGGUGCGCCGCCGGGCGGUGGAUCCGGAGGCGGAGCCUCCCCUGGAGACGGCCCCGCCCCUGCAGCCCCCAGGGCGGAGGCCCCGCCCCGCGCCCGGGGCCAGAAAAACUCCGCUCCGGCCCCGCCCCGCCGGCGGCCCCGCCCCUGCAGCCCCCUCCCGGCCCUGCAGCCCCACCCGAGGCCCCGCCCCUGCAGCCCCCCCUCCCACCCCUGCAGCCCCCUCCCGAGGUCCC